rnacentral:rRNA from 1 species
CCUACGGGAGGCAGCAGUGGGGAAUAUUGGGCAAUGGGCGCAAGCCUGACCCAGCAACGCCGCGUGAAGGAAGAAGGCUUUCGGGUUGUAAACUUCUUUUCUCAGGGACGAAGCAAGUGACGGUACCUGAGGAAUAAGCCACGGCUAACUACGUGCCAGCAGCCGCGGUAAUACGUAGGUGGCAAGCGUUAUCCGGAUUUACUGGGGAUAAAGGGGGUGUAGGCGGGAAAGCAAGUCAGAUGUGAAAACCAUGGGCUCAACCUGUGGCCUGCAUUUGAAACGGUUUUUCUUGAGUACUGGAGAGGCAGACGGAAUUCCUGGUGUAGCGGUGAAAUGCGUAGAUAUUAGGAGGAACACCAGUGGCGAAGGCGGUCUGCUGGACAGCAACUGACGCUGAGGCGCGAAAGCGUGGGCAGCAAACAGGAUUAGAUACCCCAGUAGUC